rnacentral:rRNA from 1 species
CCCAUUGUUAGUUACUACCAUUCAGUUGAGGACUCUAAUGAGACUGCCAACGACAAGUUGGAGGAAGUGGGGAUGACGUCAAAUCAUCAUGCCCUUUAUGACCUGGGCUACAAACGUACUACAAUGGCCAAUACAAAGAGAUGCGAAGCGGUGACGUGGAGCGAACCUCAGAAAGUUGGUCUCAGUUCAGAUUGAAGUCUGCAACUCGACUUCAUGAAGGCGGAAUCGCUAGUAAUCGCGGGUCAGCAGACCGCGGUGAAUACGUUCCCGGGUUUU